ensembl:lncRNA
CUGGAGUUAGAGUGCCUGCCUGUGGGGUUCAGCAGGAGCCUACAGGUGGUCUGAUGAACAGAAGUGCCUCAUUUGAAGUUCUUAGAAAGCCAUUGCCACUGAGUUAAUGCUUAGGAAAAUUGGAGCUCCGUGUGAGCUGCUAUCCUCGCAGCACGGCUCCUCACCCAGCGCAGCCGGCAGCCAUUGGAGCUCUGCUCAUCUUACGUUUGCAGUCUGAAGAGAAAUGAAAGCCCUUCUCCUUAUCUCGUGCAUCUGCGCUGCAGCAUGAGCUGCUUUCCUUGGGGGGUAAAUUCUGCUCUUCUAAAAAUUAUCGCCUCUGAUAGUUUGCAAACCUCUGCUGGAUGGGGUGGAUGGCUGAGGGGAAGGGGUGGCCCUCCAAAGGCACUGCCCCCUCCCACUGCUGACCCUCAGUGUCCCCCUGGCCCUGCUCUCACUGUACCUCCCAACCUGACUCAUGCUAACAGCAGGGAGAGCAAAGUGUCUGGCUGAGUGCCUUGAGUGUUGGAGAAAGGAGUUCCAGACCUCGUCCACUUCUGUAUUUUUCCUAUAAAUGCCCUACUUGCAGAAGCACUGAAUCUCUUCGUAUCCUAGACUCACAAUAUCCAUUAUUUCUUAAAGAAAUGAAUGAUUUCCCUGUAUAAAAUUUACUCUCUUCCCUCCCAGCAUCGUUUGAUUUUCUU